rnacentral:rRNA from 1 species
AUAGCCUAACGGCUGAACCAGCAACUUGGAGGAAUGUAUAGCAACUGCUAGUUGCACUAAAAGCUUUAGUGUGAAAUCAACUUAGUUGAAUAAAAUUCUGGGUAGUAUUAUGAUAAUGACAUUAUCUGUCCAUAAGUCUUGACCAAAUUACGUGCCAGCAGUCGCGGUAAUACGUAGAAGACAAGUGUUAUUCAUCUUUAAUAGGUUUAAAGGGUACUUAGACGGUAAAUCAAGCCUUAAAAAGGGACUAAUCUGCUAGAGUUUUAUGUGAAAAAGUAUUAAAGUACUGCUGGUGUAGAGAUGAAAUUCUGUCAUACCUUGAAUGGCACAGGUUAAGGCGAAAGCAUCUUUUUAUGUAAAAACUGACGUUGAAGGACGAAGGCUUUGUGUCUCGAACAGGAUUAGAUACCCUAGUAGUCUAAGCAGACAAUGAUGAAUGUCAUAGAUUAGAUGUAAUUUGAUCUAUAAAUGAAAGUGUAAGCAUUCCACCUCAAGAGUAAUUUGGCAACAUUGGAACUGAAAUCAUUAGACCGUUUCUGAAACCAGUAGUGAAGUAUGUUGUUUAAUUUGAUAAUCCGCAAAAAACCUUACCACUUUAAUUUGAAUAGAUAUAUUUUAUCAUACAAGCGUUGCACGGCUGUCUUCAGUUAAUGUCGUGAGACUUUGGUUAGUUCCAUAAAAUUAACGUAAACCCUUACUUUAUUUACUAAUAAAGUAGUUCACCGCUAUAUUGGAUAUGAUAACAGGGAUCAAGACAAGUCAUCAUGACCUAAAUAUUGU